UGUACAAAUGCAUAUUACCCUAGGAUUGUUCAAGAAUUUUACAGAACUAUGAGAACAGUUGAUGAUGAGGACAGAUUUGAAAUGAUUUUGAAUAACAGUUUAUAUGAUGUAUCUGUUGAACUGAUAGCUACGGCUUUGAAAUUGCCCAAUGAUGGAAAUAAAAUUUCCACACAUAAGGAUGUUGCUAGGAUGGCAGGCUUUAAUUUGGUUAAGUUUGAAAAAGGUGCUUAGAGCAAUUUACUAUGGUUAUUUGAGUCACUUGGAUAUGUGUAUCAUGUGGCACAUUGUUAACAAAGUGAAAAUAAAUUUGGCAUAUUAGAUUUUUAAGAACAUGUGCAAAGCUUAUGGAUUUGGAAAAUUGCCUUAUGCACAUCUCUUGACUG
rnacentral:misc_RNA from 1 species